rnacentral:rRNA from 1 species
GAUGAACGCUAGCGGCAGGCCUAAUACAUGCAAGUCGAACGGAAUAUAGUUUUCGGAAUAUAUAUUAGUGGCGCACGGGUGAGUAACACGUACAUAACUUGCCCUCAAGCGGGGGAUAGCCUUGGGAAACUGAGAGUAAUACCCCAUAGAAUUAUUGGACGGCAUCGUUUGAUAAUUAAAACUACGGUGUUUGGGGAUAGAUGUGCGUCUGAUUAGCUAGUUGGUGAGGUAACUGCUCACCAAGGCGGCGAUCAGUAGGGGGGCGUGAGAGCGUGGCCCCCCCACACGGGUACUGAGACACGGACCCGACUCCUACGGGAGGCAGCAGUAAGGAAUAUUGGUCAAUGGAGGGAACUCUGAACCAGCCAUGCCGCGUGAAGGAUGACGGCCCUCUGGGUUGUAAACUUCUUUUGGAUGGGGCGAAAAAACGGGAUUUAUCCUGGACUGACGGUACCAUCAGAAUAAGCACCGGCUAACUCCGUG